UGGGGCGUCGCCAAGUCGGUAAGGCACUAGACUUUGACUCUAGUAUGCGUAGGUUCGAGUCCUGCCGCCCCAGCCA
rnacentral:tRNA from 2 species